rnacentral:lncRNA from 1 species
GCUCAUUGGGGACUUUCAUCAAACAAUUUGCAAAAUUAUCAAACAGUUUACUGCACUACUUUUGGCUCUUCGAUUUUGCUUUUUCUUGCGUGUUUAAUCUGAUCUAGUGCCUCUCCUAGGUUCCUUUUGUGUCCCUUCAUUGCUUCAAAGCUUAAAACUACUUGAAAUCACCUUGUUUGACCUCUAAUUUGUGCCACCAAACCUUGUAUGCGAAUUUAAAUUCUGUUGCAGUGCAGAUUUUUUUUCUGUGACUGGUUUGGUGUGUGGCAGGAUGCUGUGACGUUUUGGUGGAGUUCUAGCAACCAGUUUGCUUCUCCAAAAGGGGUAGCAUACUAAGGAGUGGAAGCAUUGUUAAAGCAAGCACAAGUUGGGACUUUGAGAGCACCUCCCUUGGCUGUACAGAACUGUUUCAGCAACCAGUUUUUAGCAGCAAAUUUUCAUCAUUUUGGACCAGCAUUUUGUGAUACAGCAACCACACUUGGCUUCUUUGAAUUGUAACCUUUGUUACUUUUAAUUUGGCUUGAUAUCAUGGAACAUUUGGGUGCAAUUUUCUUUCAAUUUUGAAACUUGAGUGGCUUGGGAAAAUGCUUUGCUAGCAAUUCCAAGAUCACCACUAAACAUUGUAAUAGUCUAGUUCCC